rnacentral:rRNA from 1 species
AGUGAACGCUGGCGGUAGGCCUAACACAUGCAAGUCGAACGGCAGCACAGUAAGAGCUUGCUCUUACGGGUGGCGAGUGGCGGACGGGUGAGGAAUACAUCGGAAUCUACUUUUUCGUGGGGGAUAACGUAGGGAAACUUACGCUAAUACCGCAUACGACCUACGGGUGAAAGCAGGGGAUCUUCGGACCUUGCGCGAUUGAAUGAGCCGAUGUCGGAUUAGCUAGUUGGCGGGGUAAAGGCCCACCAAGGCGACGAUCCGUAGCUGGUCUGAGAGGAUGAUCGGCCACACUGGAGCUGAGACACGGUCCAGACUCCUACGGGAGGCAGCAGUGGGGAAUGUUGGACAAUGGGCGCAAGCAUGAUCCAGCCAUACCGCGUGGGUGAAGAAGGCCUUCGGGUUGUAAAGCCCUUUUGUUGGGAAAGAAAAGCAGCAGGUUAAUACCCCGCUGUUCUGACGGUACCCAAAGAAUAAGCACCGGCUAACUUCGUG